UACCAGCUCUCCGAGUGGUGUGGAUGUUUAUUGGGCCUAAAGCAUCCGUAGCUGGCUGGACAAGUCCCCUGUUAAAUCCACCGAUUUAAUCGUUGGUGUGCGGGGGAUACUGUUCGGCUAGGGGACGGGAGAGGCAGACGGUAUUUUCGGGGUAGGGGUGAAAUCCUAUAAUCCCGGGAAGACCACCAGUGGCGAAGGCUGUCUGCUAGAACGCGCCCGACGGUGAGGGAUGAAAGCUGGGGGGAGCGAACCGGAUUAGAUACCCGGGUAGUCCCAGCUGUAAACGAUGCAGGCUAGGUGUUUGGACGGCCACGUGCCGUUCUAGUGCCGCAGGGAAGCCGUUAAGCCUGCCGCCUGGGGAGUACGGCCGCAAGGCUGAAACUUAAAGGAAUUGGCGGGGGAGCACCACAAGGGGUGAAGCUUGCGGUUU
rnacentral:rRNA from 1 species